AUUCCCCCUCGCGCAGGGGAUUGCUAACAUCGACGGCGUGAUUUUCCGAGACAGAGGAGCGAAGAGAGAGGCUCGCGAGACAACCGCACAAGCUCCGGGACUGCCGGGCCGCGCGGAGGUGCACCCCGGUACACAGGCAUGGGCUGCUGUUUCAGCGGGGACGGCGACGACGGGGCGGACGGGAAGCACGCGGAGUCGGACGGCGGCUGCAAGGCGUGCUGCGCACGCACCAAGAGGUGCCUGAUGAGCGCCGAGUGCGGCCGCGCGCUGCAGAUCGCCAACGUCUGCGCCAUGUGCGGGAUGUGCAUCGGCUUCUGGACGUAGUCUCAUCUGCGCCAUGAGAAAAGUCCAUUUGGCCUUCACCCCUCCGUCUCCAAAGCUGCCUUGCACCUCCGGACCGACCCCUCUGUCCCCAUCUUCCUGCCUCUUCUGUGUGACAUCACAAUGGUCACAGCUUAGAAUGAGGACUCUCCCAUUUCGACUCGCUUCAUCCCUCCCAAUGCUACCAUGGAGACCCCUGUGACAUCAGCUGGAAGGGAGGGCGGAGAGCCUCCUCAUCAACACUCAGAUCAGGAACUCACAGCAUGUCUGUGAAUGCUUGUGUGUGCGUGCACGCUUGUGUCUGUGCAUGUGAGUUUGUAUCU